CCCAGUGGCGGACGGGUGAGUAACGCGUAGAAAUCUGCCUUUAGAUGGGGGAUAACAGUCCGAAAGGAUUGCUAAUACCGCAUAUGUAUGUACUCGGACACGAGUGUAUAUGAAAGGAGUAAUCCGUCUUAAGAUGAGUCUGCGUCCGAUUAGCUAGUUGGUAGGGUAAAAGCCUACCAAGGCGACGAUCGGUAGCUGGUCUGAGAGGAUGAUCAGCCACAAUGGGACUGAGACACGGCCCAUACUCC
rnacentral:rRNA from 1 species